UGAGUGGGUCAGCAGCAUGGAGGUUCGACAAGGGUGCUUGGCCCUACUACCCGUGAACCCACCCAAGGAGAGACGUGGUUGUAGAGUCACGCACCUCUGCCGAGCCUCCUGCUCGUUGUGCUUCUU
rnacentral:pre_miRNA from 16 species